GUCGAGAAUCUUUCACAAUGGGGGCAACCCUGAUGGAGCGACGCCGCGUGGAGGAUAAGGUCUUUGGAUUGUAAACUCCUGUCAUGCGUGAACAAGGUUGCUUGGAUAAUACCUGAGCAAAUUGAUGGUAGCGCAAGAGGAAGAGACGGCUAACUCUGUGCCAGCAGCCGCGGUAAUACAGAGGUCUCAAGCGUUGUUCGGAAUCACUGGGCGUAAAGGGUGCGUAGGUGGCGUGGCAAGUCAGAUGUGAAAGCCCGGGGCUCAACCUCGGAACUGCAUCCGAUACUGCCAUGCUAGAGUACUGGAGGGGUGACUAGAAUUCUCGGUGUAGCAGUGAAAUGCGUAGAUAUCGAGAGGAAUACCAAAGGCGUAGGCAGGUCACUGGACAGUUACUGACACUGAGGCACGAAGGCCAGGGGAGCGAACGGGAUUAGAAACCCCGGUAGUCC
rnacentral:rRNA from 1 species